rnacentral:lncRNA from 1 species
UAUUCUUUUGUAGAAAAUUGAUGAGCUAUGUCCGUACCUCUUCUCCCAGGCUAGAAUCGAUCUUCACCAUGUGCUCUUCAUUCCCAUCGUUCAAAGGAAUUGACACAAGAUCUUCAAUUGGCUCACCCCAUUCUUCAGCAAGUUCAUCGCGGGUGUCUAAUCCAUCAACCGGACAGGGGUCAGACUGACCAUUUCUUUGUAAGGCUAUGUUAUAGCAGUGUCUUGCCAGAACUUGAUCUCCUCUAACCUCUCCGAUCCCUUGGCUUGUAGAAAAUUUCAAUUUCAAAUGGUAGGUCGAUACCACAGCUCGAAGGGCUUUGAGGCCAGGUCGGUCGAGUAUUACAUUGUAGGCAAACGGCACCCUUACUACCAGAAAAUCCACUUAUGCUCUAGAUUAUUUCGAGCACCGACCUGCAACUAUAGUCAAAGUUAUUACUCCUUCCACUAGCAUAGCAUCACCAGUGAACCCUACCAAUGGGAAACUUAUCGGCCCUAAUCGAUCAUCUGGAGUGGACAUUUUUGAAAAUGCAUCGUAAAAUAAAAUAUCGACCGAGCUUCCACUAUCAACAAGAAUGUGGCGUACAUCAUAGUCAGCAAUAUUUACAGAAACUACAACCAUAUCAUUAUGGGAGAAUUGAAUCUCUUGGGCAUCUUCUUCAGUAAAGGUUAUAGAUUCUUCAAUCUUCUACCGCUUGGGCGGUCUAGCCGAUCCACUGGCUGCUCCAUGCCUAGAUCCUUCAGAGAUGGUGUUGAUGA